rnacentral:rRNA from 1 species
AAUUAUAUUAUAAUAGUUGCCGUUAACGCUUUGAAUCUGCCGCCAGCAUGGUACAGUCGCAAGGCCGACACGCAAACGACGAGACCGUCUGUGGUAUUAAUCGGGUGCGGGGCAUGCUGUUUAAUCCGUCAAUACGCGUAAAAUCUUACCAUGUCUUGAAUAUUAAUUAAUUGACUAAUCUUUGUUAAAUUAUUACAGGUGUUGCAUGGCUGUCGUCAGCUAGUGCCAGUAAGGCGUAAGGUUUGGUCCAUUUAACUAGCGCAAACCUCACUAUAUUUUUUAUAGACCUGAUUUUAUGCAGAUUUGGUAUUCGAGGAGUA